rnacentral:rRNA from 1 species
GGAAGGAGAAGUCGUAACAAGGUUUCCGUAGGUGAACCUGCGGAAGGAUCAUUGUCGAGACCGAAACUAUAUCGAGCGAUUCGGAGAACCCGUGAAAUAAGCGGCGGCGGCAGUCGCCGCGAAACAGCCGUCCCCGCCGUCGCCCCCCCUCGUCUGGAGGGGGCCGCGACGGGGCACGGCUGAAACCCCAAACCGGCGCAGAUUGGCGCCAAGGUAACUAUCGAAAAGCACGAGCCCGGCAUCGGGUCUUCGUGGGGCGGAGCGGUGUUAGCGCACCACACGUAUUGACACGACUCUCGACAAUGGAUAUCUCGGCUCUCGCAUCGAUGAAGAGCGCAGCGAAAUGCGAUACGUGGUGCGAAUUGCAGAAUCCCGCGAACCAUCGAGUCUUUGAACGCAAGUUGCGCCCGAGGCCAAUCGGUCGAGGGCACGUCCGCCUGGGCGUCAACCGCCGCGUCGCUCCGUGCCAAGUCCCCACCGUUCCCACCGCAGUGGGGGUGCCGGGCGAGGCUCGGAUGUGCAGAGUGGCCCGUCGUGCCCACCGGUGCGGCGGGCUGAAGAGCGGGUUAUCUUCUCAUUGGCCACGAACAACGAGGGGUGGAUGAAAGCUGCCGCGGGCGAGGCCCGCGUUGUCUCGUGCCGGCCCGAGUGAAGAUUACACCCUCCGUGCGAUCCCAUCCCACGCGCCGCCCCCGUGCGGCGGCUUGGAAUGCGACCCCAGGAUGGGCGAGACCACCCGCCGAGUUUAAGCAUAUCAAUAAGCGGAGGAAAAG